rnacentral:piRNA from 1 species
UGCCCAGUCUCUGAAAUGUAGGCAAGUGGCU